UAGACGCAGAGGUGUAGCCAGGAUCCGGGUCCACCCAGACAAGCACGCUGGACUGGAACAUUUCGAGCUUCUACAUACUCAAAUACUAACCUCUAUAACACGAGGACUUACUGCAGACAGAUGAAAGGCAGAGACCCUCCCAACAGGCCUUCUGUGAUUGCUUCAAAUGCGGCAAUGACACAGUAAUCCAUCAUUCAGCCCUUCUUUUACACACCAAAUCAAGAGCCGGCAGGGAGAGGGGCCCCGGGGACGGAGCAGACAAGAGCACAAACCAACAGCGGUGCAACGGCGGAAUCAGCUGAUUCGGAAGGGAUCUAUUACAGCCGAGUGUCUUGAGGAGAGACAUUAAACAAAAAGCUCUGUUACCAGAGAGACCUUCACCUGUUGCUUCCCUUCCCGAAAGGAAGACAAACAUGGAGACCGGUAAUAUUUAAAAUCCAGAGGUUGUUGGUUGUUUAUUUAUGAUUCCCAUCACUAACAGUGACUCAUGCUGGC